UGGCUCAGGACGAACGCUGGCGGCGUGCCUAAUACAUGCAAGUCGAGCGGGCGUUACUUUGGUGCUUGCACCGAAGUAACGCUAGCGGCGGACGGGUGAGUAACACGUGGGCAACCUACCUUGUAGAUGGGGAUAACUCCGGGAAACCGGUGCUAAUACCGAAUGAUACUUUUGAACACAUGUUUGAAAGUUGAAAGAUGGUUCUGCUAUCGCUACAGGAUGGGCCCGCGGCGCAUUAGCUAGUUGGUGAGGUAAUGGCUCACCAAGGCGACGAUGCGUAGCCGACCUGAGAGGGUGAUCGGCCACACUGGGACUGAGACACGGCCCAGACUCCUACGGGAGGCAGCAGUAGGGAAUCUUCCACAAUGGGCGAAAGCCUGAUGGAGCAACGCCGCGUGAGUGAAGAAGGUUUUCGGAUCGUAAAACUCUGUUGUAAGGGAAGAACAAGUACAGUAGUAACUGGCUGUACCUGACGGUACC
rnacentral:rRNA from 1 species